rnacentral:misc_RNA from 1 species
UAAUAAGUGUUUUAUGGCACUUUUUAAAUCCAUAUCCACCUUGUGUGCAAUGUUGUCUUGUAGCGCGAAUGCUUGUCAUUUGCGCUGCAGGAUGUAAACAUCAACUCUUAUUUUUAACAACUUUGUCUGAAAAACCUGUAUGAAUACUUAAUUCAAAUA